AGACCCAAGUGUUAACACAAAGGGAAGGCAGGCGCAUCCUGCUCAGCGCAUUUCGGCCACAGAUAAUAUGGCCCGUGUGCUGGCCCAGCCCACACUCUGACCUCCAGGCGCCAGGUCCCCUACCUCAGUCACUCCUGCCCAGACCAGCUGCGGACAUGCUUAGCGGAUCCGGGUCCCAGGGAAGGCGCUGCCUGGCCACACUCUCUCAGUGAGUUCUGCCCUUUGCCUCUUUGAUUUCUCUUUUCUUUCUUUCUCUCUCUUUUUUUUUCCUCUCCAACAAAAGAAUUUUUUUUAAUUCUGGGAGUGGGGAAAAGAAAGAGCAAGGAGGGAGAGAGAGAGCGAGAGGAAGGCAGGAGUGUGUAAAAACUUUGUAGUUUCAGCUGCGGGUUUGGUCUGGAGUCACUGGCUUUCUGGUUUUCUUCAUUUCCAUCUUCCUGGUGCCUUAGCAACAGGGGUUUUACCUAGGACCUGGGUUUCUUUCUUCCAAAUGCAGGCCACAGGGUAUUGUGCUGCUAAAGAUCUGCUGUUAAUUUAGACCCGAGCUCUCUGCCUCAAAGUCAUCCUUUGCAGGGCGCAGAGAUUUCACUAAGCCACAGUUGCCCAAUCCGUAAAGUAAACAGCCCAGAGCCCUCAGCAUACUGACCAUCUGCCUGGGCCAUAACAAGCCUCAAAGCAUAUGCUAUUGAUCAGGGGGGCUGUUCAGAUAACACGAGGGUUCUGCGGCUUUAGAAACGUGGAAUUCUGGAAUGUGAAAGUGAGCGGGGCCUCUGGGACCCUUUGGGGGUGAUGCUGUCUUUCUACAGACACAGAGCCCAGAGGGAUAACUAAGCUUACCAAAGCCAGACAACAGCCCGCAAGGAUGGGGCUCCUCUGUUCCCUGAGCAGAGGAGGCCUUUUUUCGCAGUAGUGUCUGUGAGGUUUGAAAACCUUAAUGCGUCCUGGGCAAAGGUAGUGUGGAGGAGUGAGGGGCACCAGAUGGCCUUUUGGAGAGUCGUUCCCAUUUCUGAGAGUUUUGGCUUUCAUUCAGGAUCACGGUCACUGGGUCCAGUUGCCCCAGAGCUUGUGCAACCGUUGGUCAAAUAAGCAGAGGAGCUUGGUGGGGUCCUAGAAAAUGAGAGACCUUCACACCCACAGUGUUUGCAGCGGUUUUUGGUUAACCAGGUUUUGUUGUUGUUGUUUUGGUUUUUUGAAGUUGGUCACUCAAAUGGGAAAGUUCAGGGGGACCUGGGAGAUGGUCUAUACAAUUCAGUGCUUGUUAAACUUU
rnacentral:lncRNA from 1 species